CACGUAGUUAGCCGGUGCUUAUUCUUUAGGUACCGUCAGUAUCAGCCAUUAUUCACAGCUGACUUUUCUUCCCUAACAAAAGUACUUUACAACCCUAAGGCCUUCUUCAUACACGCGGCAUGGCUGGAUCAGGGUUGCCCCCAUUGUCCAAAAUUCCCCACUGCUGCCUCCCGUAGGAGUCUGGGCCGUGUCUCAGUCCCAGUGUGGCGGAUCAUCCUCUCAGACCCGCUACAGAUCUUCGCCUUGGUGAGCCUUUACCUCACCAACUAGCUAAUCCGACAUCGGCCGCUCAAAAAGCGCUAGGCCUAUUCCCAGGUCCCCAGCUUUCUUCCUCAGAAUUUAUGCGGUAUUAGCCACCCUUUCGGGUGGUUAUCCCCCUCUUCUCGACACGUUCCGAUGUAUUACUCACCCGUUCGCCACUCGCCGGCAGAGAAGCAAGCUCCUCCCCGCUGCCGUUCGACUUGCAUGUGUAAAGCAUGCCGCCAGCGUUCAAUCUGAGCCAGGAUA
rnacentral:rRNA from 1 species